GUGGAUGUUUCAGUAAUACAGGUGCUGGAAGAAAUAUCCAGUUCCAGUUCCAAGCUAGGAGAAAGGCACUGGAAAUAAAAUGGAGGCUGGAGGCUGAUUGAAAAGAAAGGUUCCCUUUAUUGAUGAAGCAGAACCACCAAUCACAUGUGAUUCAGGGGCAGUUGACAAAAUGGAGUUUAGAGUAGGGAAAGAUUGAAGGCAAACGAGGUCCAGGUAGAAGAAGAACAUCAUGGCUUCAAAACCUAAGGGACUGGUUUGGACAAAACUUUUUCAUACGGCUGUUGACAAAAAUAGGAUUGCCAACAUAAUCGCCAACAUCCGAUGAUGGAUAUGUCACAAGAAGAAGAAGAAGAAGAAGAAUUUUUGCAGGAUCAAAGCCUUUCAGCAUGAGGCAUUUGGUGAUAUUUACCUUCCAAUCAUUACUGAUGGUGAGAUAUUAAAUCACAGUAGUGUAAAGGC